CGGGGGGAGCAAGCGUUGUUCGGAUUUACUGGGCGUAAAGGGCGCGUAGGCGGCCACCGCAAGUCGACUGUGAAAUCUCCGGGCUUAACUCGGAAAGGUCAGCCGAUACUGCGGGGCUAGAGUGUAGAAGGGGCAACUGGAAUUCUCGGUGUAGCGGUGAAAUGCGUAGAUAUCGAGAGGAACACCUGCGGCGAAGGCGGGUUGCUGGGCUGACACUGACGCUGAGGCGCGAAAGCUAGGGGAGCGAACGGGAUUAGAUACCCCGGUAGUCCUAGCCUUAAACGAUGAAUGCUUGGUGUCUGGGGUUUUAUAGUCCCCGGGUGCCGUCGCUAACGCUUUAAGCAUUCCGCCUGGGGAGUACGGUCGCAAGACUG
rnacentral:rRNA from 1 species